rnacentral:rRNA from 1 species
GGGACUCCGAGUGUGAGGGCAUAUAGCCCUCACUUUUCUGAACCGUAAGGUGGUUCAGGAACAAGGACUGGGCAAGACCGGUGCCAGCCGCCGCGGUAAUACCGGCAGUCCAAGUGAUGGCCGAUAUUAUUGGGCCUAAAGCGUCCGUAGCUUGCUGUGUAAGUCCAUUGGGAAAUCGACCAGCUCAACUGGUCGGCGUCCGGUGGAAACUACACAGCUUGGGGCCGAGAGACUCAACGGGUACGUCCGGGGUAGGAGUGAAAUCCUGUAAUCCUGGACGGACCACCAAUGGGGAAACCACGUUGAGAGACCGGACCCGACAGUGAGGGACGAAAGCCAGGGUCUCGAACCGGAUUAUAUACCCGGGUAGUCCUGGCUGUAAACAAUGCUCGCUAGGUAUGUCACGCGCCAUGAGCACGUGAUGUGCCGUAGUGAAGACGAUAAGCGAGCCGCCUGGGAAGUACGUCCGCAAGGAUGAAACUUAAAGGAAUUGGCGGGGGAGCACCACAACCGGAGGAGCCUGCGGUUUAAUUGGACUCAACGCCGGACAUCUCACCGGUCCCGACAGUAGUAAUGACAGUCAGGUUGACGACUUUACUCGACGCUACUGAGAGGAGGUGCAUGGCCGCCGUCAGCUCGUACCGUGAGGCGUCCUGUUAAGUCAGGCAACGAGCGAGACCCACACUUCUAGUUGCCAGCAACACCCCUGCGGUGGUUGGGUACACUAGGAGGACUGCCAUUGCUAAAAUGGAGGAAGGAAUGGGCAACGGUAGGUCAGUAUGCCCCGAAUGGACCGGGCAACACGCGGGCUACAAUGGCUCUGACAGUGGGAUGCAACGCCGAGAGGCGAAGCUAAUCUCCAAACGGAGUCGUAGUUCGGAUUGCGGGCUGAAACCCGCCCGCAUGAAGCUGGAUUCGGUAGUAA